rnacentral:rRNA from 1 species
AUUGAACGCUGGCGGCAGGCCUAACACAUGCAAGUCGAGCGGAUGAAGGGAGCUUGCUCCUGGAUUCAGCGGCGGACGGGUGAGUAAUGCCUAGGAAUCUGCCUGGUAGUGGGGGAUAACGUCCGGAAACGGGCGCUAAUACCGCAUACGUCCUGAGGGAGAAAGUGGGGGAUCUUCGGACCUCACGCUAUCAGAUGAGCCUAGGUCGGAUUAGCUAGUUGGUGGGGUAAAGGCCUACCAAGGCGACGAUCCGUAACUGGUCUGAGAGGAUGAUCAGUCACACUGGAACUGAGACACGGUCCAGACUCCUACGGGAGGCAGCAGUGGGGAAUAUUGGACAAAGGGCGAAAGCCUGAUCCAGCCAUGCCGAGUGUGUGAAGAAGGUCUUCGGAUUGGAAAGCACUUUAAGUUGGGAGGAAGGGCAGUAAGUUAAUACCUUGCUGUUUUGACGUUACCAACAGAAUAAGCACCGGCUAACUUCGUG